UACGUAGGGUGCAAGCGUUAAUCGGAAUACUGGCGUAAGCGUGCGCAGGCGGUGAUGUAAGACAGGUGUGAAAUCCCCGGGCUUAACCUGGGAACUGCAUUUGUGACUGCAUCGCUGGAGUGCGGCAGAGGGGAUGGAAUUCCGCGUGUAGCAGUGAAAUGCGUAGAUAUGCGGAGGAACACCGAUGGCGAAGGCAAUCCCCUGGGCCUGCACUGACGCUCAUGCACGAAGCGUGG
rnacentral:rRNA from 1 species